GUGUGGAAAGUGUGGCUGCCCCGCCCCGUCUCUUGGAACUGCCGGGGCCGCCACCGCUGCCGCCGCCGCAGCUGUAGGGAACCGGCGCCGGUGCGCAGGCGAGAGGAUCUCUUCCCCUGCUGAAAGUUCCCUCGGAAAAGCUACCAUCUCCCCAGCCCACCAUGGCGGAUGAAAUUGAUUUCACUACUGGAGAUGCUGGGGCUUCCAGCACUUACCCUAUGCAGUGCUCGGCCCUGCGCAAAAACGGCUUCGUGGUUCUCAAAGGACGACCAUGCAAAAUAGUGGAGAUGUCAACUUCCAAAACUGGAAAGCACGGUCAUGCCAAGGUUCACCUCGUUGGAAUUGACAUUUUCACCGGCAAAAAAUAUGAAGAUAUUUGCCCUUCUACUCACAACAUGGAUGUUCCAAAUAUUAAGAGAAAUGAUUAUCAACUAAUAUGCAUUCAGGAUGGUUACCUUUCCCUGCUGACAGAAACUGGUGAAGUUCGUGAGGAUCUUAAGCUGCCAGAAGGUGAACUAGGUAAAGAAAUAGAAGGAAAAUACAAUGCAGGUGAAGAUGUACAGGUGUCUGUUAUGUGUGCAAUGAGUGAAGAAUAUGCUGUAGCCAUAAAGCCCUGCAAAUAAAUGGGAACAUCAGGCAUGAGCAAAAUGUUUAGGAGUAACUCCAUCUUAAUUUCUACUAAAACCCAUGAUAAAAGUGAAGCAACAGUGAACUCAAGUGAACAAGUAAGCAAUACUUUUUUUUUUCUUAAGAGUUUUUUCCUCGAGAAUCUAGUUUAUUUUGGCUCCCUCAGUUAUUUCCCUCAACGGUCAUUUAAAAAACAAGACUCAUAGACAAAACACAAAUACAGAAGUAACUUUUUCGCUGUGGGGUCGUAAUUACAAUGUAAGACAGGAGAUCCCAAAGCAACCUGAGAGCCUUGCCCUGAUUGUUAAGAUCUAGGCGAUUAGUGAAAGAUGAUUCCUCCAUCCCUCGGUUGUGUUUAUCUGGGAACCACCUCCCGUAACUGCGGAGACCUUUGUAGUCAACGGACGAACGUCGUCAUUGGCGGAAAACCCUGAAUCAUUUUACUACGGCCGCUAGCCGGCGCGCUCAGGAAACCUGACCGCAUCCGAAGCCUAUCCUCCGCCGCACGCCCGGGUUUCCUGGGUUACGGGCCUCCCCACGCUCUCUUCCGGGAGGCGGCGAGCAUACGCUCUCGGCGCGUGACGCAGCACGUUUUGCUAUAAGUACGUGACGCGCGACGGUCGCUUUCUCUUUGAUCGCCCGACCGCCUUUCAAAAUGGCGCCGCAGAAAGACAAGAAGCCUAAGAAGUCAACCUGGAAAUUUAAUUUGGACCUUACCCAUCCAGUAGAAGAUGGAAUUUUUGAUUCGGGAAAUUUUGGUACCUUCCCUAGUGACUAUCUAGGGUUUUCUUCCCUAGUUUUGCAUGUUUUCUGUUUUAAAAUAGGAACAGUUUCUACGGGAGAAGGUUAAAGUCAAUGGAAAAACUGGAAAUCUGGGGAAUGUUGUUCACAUUGAACGCUUCAAGAAUAAAAUCACAGUUGUUUCUGAGAAACAGUUCUCUAAAAGGUAUUUGAAAUAUCUUACCAAGAAAUACCUUAAGAAGAACAAUCUUCGUGAUUGGCUUCGUGUGGUUGCGUCUGACAAGGAGACUUACGAACUUCGUUAUUUCCAGAUUACUCAAGAUGAAGAUGGAUCUGAGUCUGAAGACUAGAUGAAGCUGCCCCUUACAGGGUUUUGCUUGUUAAUAAAACAAGUGAAGCAUGGGAAAGAAAGAAACAUCUAGAAAUGGACUUUGAGUUUAUUGGUAAAUAAAAAGCAUUGUACUCUG